rnacentral:lncRNA from 1 species
GAUCCGCAGCUGAGCAGGAGGAGGAGGAGCUGAGAGGAGGAGCCCUGCUGAUGAAGGACGAGAGGAGACGCGCGAGUGUCAGAGAGCUGGAGGAGACCAGAGCAGUGCAGGAAGGUGGGAGCAUGAGGAAACAUGUGCCAGAGGAGAGGAAGACAGACUCCAGCUUUACUACUGAUCACUCACACACAAUACAGGACAGAUACAGAGCGCUGCUGCACACACAGGUGCAUGUGCUGAUGGAGAGGAUGGUGGAUUCUCUGUGUGAUUUACUCGAUGACACUCAACACACUCCUCAGACAGCAUAUUGAUACUUCCGUCUGUCUUCAUUUACUGUCUAAAGAGUCCGAUCUUAAUUGCACAAGUCAGUAAAUGUAAUGUUCCUGUCAAGAAGAGCCUUUGGUGUGUUUCUGGUGUGAGUUUUAAACUAGCCGUUCUGAAACAACUGAAUGAGAUGAUUCAGUUUAUGAUUUAUGAGAUAAUCUAUAAGCUUGUCCAUCAAGCGUUUCAAGCCCAAAUGGCUGAAGGUUUAGCUGGUUCUCAUCACUAUACCCUGCUGUAUGUAUCUGACCGUCUUUAUUAAUGACCAUUCAAACGUAUCUGUAUAUUUCUGCUAAAAUAAACAUUUCAGUUGCAAAUACUUCAGUAUAUUAUGAAAACUGCAGCAACAUACAUGCAGAAAAUAAAAUAAUUAAAAUAAAGAGUGUAUUUAUUUAUUUAGUAAUACAGCAUAGCAGACCAAACCUUUAUAAAUAAAUAAGUAAAAUACUUUCUU